rnacentral:lncRNA from 1 species
UGGCAUGUGCCUAUAAUGCCAGCUACUCAGGAGGCUGAGGGCUGAGGCAGGAGAAUGGCAUGAAUCUGGGAGGCGGAGGUUGCAGUGAGCCGAGAUCGUGCCACUGCCCUCCAGCCUGGGCAACAGAGUGAGACUCCAUCUCAAAAAAAAAAAAAAAAAAAAGCACACAUGUGGAGUGCAUUAUCAUGCUUUCAAAUUUCUCCUAUGAUGAGGAAUGAAAAAUAUAAUAUUGGGCCUUGAUUUCCUAAAUGGCCCUCAGCCAUUUCCCCAAAUUAUUCCAACUUUUCCCAAGACACUUCAGAAACAUUCUCUGGAGGGAACUAUUGCAAAUGGUGAAGAGUACUAGAUGGAUGAGAAUCCCAUGGGAUUCUUGCUUAAACUGCAGAAGAGUCACCCUCCAGGACUUCAAAAAUUUACGGAAGCUGCAUGAGUAGUGUGGGCUAUGGAAGUCAUGGGCGUCGACGUCAGGCAGACUUGGUCCUGAGUCCCUGUCCAGCCUCUUAGUUGCUGUGGGGCUUUGGACAAGUUCCCUGACUUGAAACACUUAUAUAAACCUCACCUGCAAGAAAAUGCAUAGUGAUACUGAUUGCAAAAAUGGCAUCAAUUCAUCAUCCUUCCCUGUAUCCAGACCCUUUGCAGUGUGCUUGUACAGAUGUUCUCAUUAAGAAGCAGACUCUGUUUCCCAAACCUUGGAUCUCAGCUGGCCUUAUUUGCUGUGGCCAAUAGAAGACUGCAAACAUAACAGUGUGCCAGCUUGGGGCUUAGGCUCAAAAGUUCCUGAAUGCUUUGUUUUUCUUUCAGAAUUCUACCAUUUCCAUAAGAGCAAGUCUGUGCUAGCCUGUUGGAGGACGAGAAACCAUGAGAAGCAAAGUGCCACAGUUGACAGCCAACUCGCCCCCAGAAGCAGAGAUGCCUAGUCAACCAAAAGUUGAGCACACAUGUCCAAAGGGGCCCAGCUGGGUCCAGAAUGGCCCAGCUGAGCCCAGCCCAAAUGGCUGAACAGCUCAAUCAUGAGUGAAUAAGUUUUGGGUGAUUUGUUAUGCAGCAAUAGCUAAAUAAUACAUGCACCCAAUGCAGAUAGGAUGCUAGGAUUCAAGGACAGGUUGAUUACAAGUUACCUGCAAACAGAAGACACCCUACAGUUGCUGAUUUUCUUUUCCUCUUAUUUAAAGUUGGGCCUCUUGCUUGAUGGCAUCGAGUUACACAGAAAUGCAUGUAGACAUGUCUGCAUGUAAUUGGUGCUUAAACUACGCAGUCCUCCACAGCAUGCGAGGAAACAAAUGUACACAGCCUGACCGUUAGGGUCAAGGCCAAAUAGCAAAGCAAGUGUGCCUUUAAUCUAUUCCCUCCAUAUCUAAACUUCGUAGGUCAAGGCUGUGGACAGAUCUGAAGACAUUGGGUUUCCUCCUUUUGGGGGCCCUAUCAUCCUUUGUUCAUUUUCUGAUCUCUGGAAAGACGAUGGGCAGCAGGUGGGCAGCAGGGAAACCUGUGGACACUUUGUUCUUGUAGCCC